rnacentral:rRNA from 1 species
UACGUAGGGUCCGAGCGUUGUCCGGAAUUAUUGGGCGUAAAGAGCUCGUAGGCGGUUUGUCGCGUCUGCCGUGAAAGUCCGGGGCUCAACUCCGGAUCUGCGGUGGGUACGGGCAGACUAGAGUGAUGUAGGGGAGACUGGAAUUCCUGGUGUAGCGGUGAAAUGCGCAGAUAUCAGGAGGAACACCAAUGGCGAAGGCAGGUCUCUGGGCCACAACUGACGCUGAGGAGCGAAAGCAUGGGGAGCGAACAGG